AGAGCCAGGGAGCGUCGCCAGCCUGGAAACAGGCCGGUGGCACCCUCCCGAACUCCACCCUUGAAUAAAUUACCUUUGUUGCUUUAGCGGGCCGCCUCGUGCCAGCGGCUUCGGCUGUUGAGUGCCCGCCAGAGGACCCUAAACUCUGUUUAUUAGUGUCGUCUGAGUACUAUAUAAUAGUUAAAACUUUCAACAACGGAUCUCUUGGUUCU
rnacentral:misc_RNA from 1 species